rnacentral:rRNA from 1 species
GUCAGACAAUAACGGCAAUAGAAGAACCCUCAUGAACUCUUCCGCACCGACCCUUACACCCCUGUGCGGUACCGUCUCCGCGCACCAGCCGUCCUCCUCAGUCCCUCCGUACUUCCACCUGUACACCUACAAUAGCACCGUAACUGUGUAAAGCGAGGUGGCUACGAUGUAUGGUCCCUAAGCAACCUUCGGUGUGUCCCGUGGGCUCUUCCUCUCCUCCUCUUACGAGACUUCUCUCCU